rnacentral:rRNA from 1 species
UACAGAGGGGGCAAGCGUUAUUCGGAAUUAUUGGGCGUAAAGGGCGCGUAGGCGGCCUGGCAAGUGGAAGGUGAAAUCCCUCGGCUUAACCGAGGAACUGCCUCCCAAACUGCUUGGCUUGAGACCAGGAGAGGUGAGUGGAAUUCCCAGUGUAGCGGUGAAAUGCGUAGAUAUUGGGAGGAACACCAGUGGCGAAGGCGGCUCACUGGACUGGUACUGACGCUGAGGCACGAAAGCGUGGGGAGCAAACGGG